rnacentral:rRNA from 1 species
UACGGCGGGCGCAAGCGUUGUUCGGAAUCACUGGGCGUAAAGCGCGUGUAGGCGGUUCGGCAAGUCGGCUGUGAAAGCCCGAGGCUCAACCUCGGAACUGCAGCCGAAACUGCCGGGCUCGAGUCCCGGAGAGGGUGGCGGAAUUUCCGGUGUAGAGGUGAAAUUCGUAGAUAUCGGAAGGAACACCAGAGGCGAAGGCGGCCACCUGGACGGUGACUGACGCUGAGACGGGAAAGCGUGGGGAGCAAACAGG